UCUUUUUUUUCCAAAAUUGAUUCAUUUUCUCUUUUUCUCCCCCAUUUCUCUCUCGUCUACCCAUUUUCCAUCACCACCUCCAUCUUCUAAACCCUAGCCGCCGCAACAUCGCCCAUCCCUCUCUUCACUUGCCUCUCUCCACUUCAAUCACAUCCCUCUCUUCUCUUUCUUCUCUCCAUUACCAUCACUUUAUCUGUUAUGUCCCCUCUCUUCUCUCUCCCAUUCACAUCUAUCUUCAUUUUUCAACACUUCUUCUUAAGAGAAAAGGGCAAUGUCAAUACCCCCAUUAGGGUUUCCAAAAAGAAAAUGUUAAAGUUACAGCACUCAGAGAUCAAAGACAUGGAGCAGUAGCACAAGCUAGAAUAUCAUAGUGAAGGAGCAUGGGGAAGAAUCAGAGACAUUUUCUUUUCUCUUUCUCUACCAUUUUCCAAUCUUCCCCUUUUAAGUUCUUCUGAUUUUAAUGAAUUUUUCCUAACUUUAUUUUGAUUUUGUUCUAUAAAUAGGUUUCGAAUCUUAUAUUGAGGAAGGUUUCUUGACUCAAGGGUAUUGGAUAUCAAAGGUAGUAUUAGUGGUAUUGAUUAGGGUUCAUCAAGAAACAACUCAAGAUCGAUUUUGCAAUUGAUGAUGCUGAUGGUGUAGAAGAAGGAACAUUUGUUACUAUCAUUGGACGGGGGAAACAACAAAGUGAGGAAUCCAUACUACAGGAGAAGUCCAUACUGAAUGCUGCCGAUAAACUAGCGUUCAUUAUCGAAGAAAGCCAGUAUAAAGAUGGUCUGACAUCUUAUUUCAUUGUUGUCGAAAACAUUUUACCUUGAAUCAUCAUUUUGUAUUGCAACCGUAGGUGCUGAAAUCACUGACCAAUAUGAGAAAUCUCAAUUCACAAGGGAAUCCUGUUGCUGCAAUUGAGAAAGUUACAAGAAAGGUGCUUCCCUGUUUUUUUGGACUCACAAUGCUAAUAUAUGCGUGAUUUUUAAGUUUCAUCCUUAAACUACCAUGGCUAAUUGGCUAUAAUGUUAUGAGUCUCCUAGCCAUUAUGUUUACCAUUCAAGCUAUAUAUUGACAGAGGCUUAUAUUUGAAGAAAGUUUUUAAUAGAAUUGAAGGAUAAAAGCUAUAAGAAAUAUAUAGCAUAUUUAAUGUGUGAGACCAUUUAUUACCUUAUGGAUUGA